CUACGGGCCGCUGCAGUGAGGAAUAUUGCACAAUGGGGGGAACCCUGAUGCAGCAACGCCGCGUGGAGGAUGACGCAUUUCGGUGUGUAAACUCCUUUUAUAUGUCAAGAAAAUGACGGUAGCAUAUGAAUAAGCACCGGCUAACUCCGUGCCAGCAGCCGCGGUAAUACGGAGGGUGCAAGCGUUACUCGGAAUCACUGGGCGUAAAGGACGCGUAGGCGGGUUGGAAAGUCAGGUGUGAAAUCCUACAGCUUAACUGUAGAACUGCACUUGAAACUUCUAAUCUAGAGUAUGGGAGGGGGAGAUGGAAUUAGUGGUGUAGGGGUAAAAUCCGUAGAUAUCACUAGGAAUACCUAAAGCGAAGGCGAUCUCCUGGAAAAAUACGGACGCUAAGGCGUGAAAGCGUGGGGAGCAAACAGGAUUAGAUACCCUUGUAGUC
rnacentral:rRNA from 1 species